rnacentral:rRNA from 1 species
GAUGAACGCUAGCGGCAGGCUUAAUACAUGCAAGUCGUGGGGCAGCAGGUUUGUAGCAAUACAGAUGCUGGCGACCGGCAAACGGGGUGCGGAACACGUACAGAACCUUCCUUUGAGCGGGGAAUAGCCCAGAGAAAUUUGGAUUAAUACCCCAUAGUAUAAUGAAGUGGCAUCACUUUAUUAUUAAAGAUUUAUCACUCGAAGAUGGCUGUGCGGCUGAUUAGGUAGUUGGCGGGGUAAAGGCCCACCAAGCCUGCGAUCAGUAACUGGUGUGAGAGCACGACCAGUCACACGGGCACUGAGACACGGGCCCGACUCCUACGGGAGGCAGCAGUAAGGAAUAUUGGUCAAUGGAGGCAACUCUGAACCAGCCAUGCCGCGUGGAGGAUGAAGGUCCGUCUGGAUUGUAAACUUCUUUAUAUGGACGAAAAAGGCUUUCUAAGUCGUCUGACGGUACCGAUAUGAAUAAG